AAUGAACGCUGGCGGCAGGCCUAAAACAUGCAAGUCGAACGCCCUAGCAAUAGGGAGUGGCGCACGGGUGAGUAACAUGUGGGAAUAUGCCUUUUGGUACGGAACAACGUUUGGAAACGAACGCUAAUACCGUAUGGUCCCUCCGGGGUAAAGAUUUAUCGCCAAAAGAUUAGCCCGCACUAGAUUAGCUAGUUGGUAAGGUAAUGGCUUACCAAGGCGACGAUCUAUAGCUGUUCUGAGAGGAAGAUCAGCCACACUGGGACUGAGACACGGCCCAGACUCCUACGGGAAGCAGCAAUUAAAAAUAUUAAACAAUGGGCGCAAGCCUGAUCCAGCCAUGCCGCGUGAGUGAUGAAGGCCUUCGGGUUGUAAAGCUCUUUAGCCGACGAAUAUAAUGACUGUAGUCGGAGAAUAAGCCCCGGCUAACUUCGUGCCAGCCGCCGCGGUAAUAC
rnacentral:rRNA from 1 species